UACAGAGGGGGCAAGCGUUAUUCGGAAUUAUUGGGCGUAAAGGGCGCGUAGGCGGCUUUGCAAGUGACGGGUGAAAGCCCUCGGCUUAACCGAGGAACUGCCUGUCAGACUGUAAGGCUUGAGACCGGGAGAGGUGAGUGGAAUUCCCAGUGUAGCGGUGAAAUGCGUAGAUAUUGGGAGGAACACCAGUGGCGAAGGCAGCUCGCUGGGACGUUACUGACGCUGAGACGCGAAAGCGUGGGGAGCAAACAGG
rnacentral:rRNA from 1 species